rnacentral:rRNA from 1 species
GACGAACGCUGGCGGCGUGCUUAACACAUGCAAGUCGAACGGUGAAGCGCCUUCCUUUUUGGUGGGUGUGGAUGAGUGGCGAACGGGUGAGUAACACGUGAGUAACCUGCCCCCUUCUUCUGGAUAACCGCAUGAAAGUGUGGCUAAUACGGGAUAUUCUGGGUCUGUCGCAUGAUGGGUCUGGGAAAGAUAUUGUUUCGGUGGGGGAUGGGCUCGCGGCCUAUCAGCUUGUUGGUGGGGUGAUGGCCUACCAAGGCGGUGACGGGUAGCCGGCCUGAGAGGGUGGACGGUCACACUGGGACUGAGACACGGCCCAGACUCCUACGGGAGGCAGCAGUGGGUAAUAUUGCACAAUGGGCGCAAGCCUGAUGCAGCGACGCCGCGUGAGGGAUGGAGGCCUUCGGGUUGUGAACCUCUUUCGCCAGUGAAGCAGGCCUGCCUCGUUUGUGGGUGGGUUGACGGUAGCUGGAGAAGAAGCGCCGGCUAACUACGUG